GGUAGUGUGGCCGAGUGGACAAAGGCAACAGACUGUAAAUCUGUCGGGGUAACCCUACGGUGGUUCGAAUCCACCCGCUACCA
rnacentral:tRNA from 1 species